UUCAACUGGCUGUAUUGUAUUGGUGCUGUUGACGUGUCGAGGGUCUUCCUCUGUGUUGGCGCGUGGCCUUCUCUGUGCUGCGGUGGAGGGCUUCACAGACGCAGCUAGUGUGGCUGGAUGCAUCACGCAGUAGAGCAGUUUGGCGGGCGUGGCACACGGGACUCCUUCCCUCUGGACGGACUCAGCCGGGGAACAUGGGCUCCCGUGGGUGGCCACGUCACCUGGGCGCCACCUGCCAGGUGUCCGACAGGUGUCAAUCAACACCAGCUCCUACCCCAUCUACCGCCCAGUCACAUGGGUGGACUGAACCAUCCCAGUAAAUUCUUCAAUAAUGGGCCCAUGCAGGUGCGUGGCAGUGAGAAGCAGGAGCUGGCCCAGGCCAUGUUACCUGGCCUCCAGAGAGCGGACCAGCAACACCUCCCUCCUCCCCCUCACAGGGCGUGGGAACAGCCGGGUCAGCUGUACGAGUCGCCCCCCCCUCCUCAUCCAUCCGUACCCCUGCCCAGCGACCACGCGACCCGUCUGCAUGGCGGGUAUAGCCCCGGGCCUCCCGCCAGCCUGCCCCCCAGGCCCAAUCAGCUACUGAAGUAUGUGGACCCUCAGGAGCAGCAUCUUCUCAGGGGUCCGACAUCGCUGGGUGAUGAUAUGUGGGCUCAGGUGCAGCAGAGGGGUUACCCAGGGAAGAUGUUGGGAGGGCAGCUGAAGAGACCGGCCCCCCCUCUCGGGGAGUACUCGGUCAUCCGGCACACCCCGCACCCCUCCUCUCGCCCCAAUGAGGACUGCCCCAGUCCCAGCAAGAGGAAGAGGAGCUCUGAGCAGGUAUGUGGAUGAUUUGAAACCUCUACAUUUAAAAACUUGACUCGUGCAUUUAAAUGUACUUCACACCAAAAGUUGACUCGUAAAGGAUAAAGAGAAACAAAGUCUAAACUCUCACAUGUAGAAUCAGGUGACUGCAUAGAAUAAUUUGCCAUUUUCUGAUAUCUAAACUUUGUAGUUGUUAUUUGACCAUGUUGUUUAGAUGGGAUAUGGUUUAGUACCUAAACCCUGCUCUCUCCAGGUUCUACACCCAGGCAUACAGAGGUUCUCUGGCCCAGGAGGGCACCCCCUGCCCCCACAGCAGCAGCCCCCGUCUCACUACCCCCCUCCUCCACCCAAACCUGCUUUCUGGAACCCCAUGCACAAGGCGAGUGGCGCCCCCCGGGCCCAGCCCGAACGCAAGAACGGUUCCCCUGAGUUCCAGGUCCGAGCCGUAAGAACACUUAACACUUGCUGCUCUAUCAAGAACGUGACUAGAUGGAAUGUAGCUUUACAGAACCUGACAUUCCAAACAUAAAAUAAAAAGUUAUCUAGGCUCCCCUAGCUUUCCCACAUUCUGAGCCAUAAUGUUAAUCGUCUCUCUCUCUUUCGCUCUGCUAACAGGAGUCAGUCAAGUCCUGCAUGGGCGGCUACACCUACAAACCUCCCGCCCCCUCGCCCAUCUCCCCACCCCUCACCUCUCCCCGGGAGGCUACCCUCAGAGGCACAGCGGGCCCCACCACCCCACAAGCCCUCAUUCUCACCUCAGGCCCUAAUCAACCCCCCCACAACAACCCCCACAGCCUCUCACCCGCAGUACCCUA
ensembl:lncRNA